rnacentral:miRNA from 1 species
AGUUACUGAAGAAGCUGAUGCUG